rnacentral:tRNA from 1 species
UCUAAUAUGGCAGAAUAUAUGCAAUGGAUUUAAACCCCAUAGAUAAAGAAAUCAAUCUUUUAUUAGAA